rnacentral:rRNA from 1 species
GACGAACGCUGGCGGCGUGCCUAAUACAUGCAAGUCGACCUUAGUGGCGAACGGGUUAGUAACACGUGGGUAACCUGCCCAUCAGAAGGGGUUAACCCUUGGAAACACGUGCUAAUACCGUUUACUUAUGGAUGGACCCCCGUUUCAUUAGCUAGUUGGUGAGGUACCGGCUCCCAAAGGCCACGAUGCAUAGCCGACCUGAGAGGGUGAUCGGCAACAUGGGGACUGAGACACGGCCCAAACUCCUACGGGAGGCAGCAGUAGGGAAUCUUCGGCAAUGGACGAAAGUCUGACCGAGCAACGCCGCGUGAGUGAAGAAGGUUUUCGGAUCGUAAAACUCUGUUGUUAGAGAAGCGGUAUCUAACCAGAAAGCCACGGCUAACUACGUGCCAGCAGCCGCGGUAAUUC